rnacentral:rRNA from 1 species
GUAGGAUGCAAGCGUUAUCCGGAAUUAUUGGGCGUAAAGAGUUCGUAGGCGGCUAAUUAAGUUGGAUGUUAAAGCUUUGAGCUCAACUCAAACACGGUAUCCAAAACUGAUUAGCUAGAGACAGAUAGAGGCAAGUGGAAUUCUGCAUGUAGGGGUAAUAUCCGUAGAUAUGCAGAGGAACACCAAAAGCGAAGGCAGCUUGCUGGAUCUGUUCUGACGCUCAAGAACGAAAGCGUGGGUAGCGAACGGGAUUAGAUACCCCGGUAGUCCACGCCCUAAACUAUGAACACUAGGUGUUGGAGGUCUCGACCCCUCCAGUGCCGACGCUAACGCAUUAAGUGUUCCGCCUGGGUAGUACGAACGCAAGUUUA